rnacentral:misc_RNA from 1 species
GAGUCAAAGUUUUUGGUUGAAGGGAAAUUGUUUGAAGUGGGGUUGAGUGAGCAAGAUUUCAUUAGAGUGCUUGGUUAACUAUACCUUGUAUUGUUCAUUAUAUACAAGAAUUUAUAUUGUUGUUUGUACCCAAGGGUUGCUGUAUUUUUUAUUUUUCUUCAUUUGUCUUGGAGUUUACAUUAAUUUUAAAAGAAACUGCAAUUUUACUGAAUGAGGAAAUUACCUUGGUUGUGGUUUGUGUUAACUUGUUUG